AGUCUGGUGCCAGCAGCCGCGGUAAUUCCAGCUCCAAUAGUGUAUAUUAAAGUUGCUGCAGUUAAAAAGCUCGUAGUUGGAUUUCGGAUAAUAAAAAUUUAAUAUCCAUCCUUAAAAUGUGAUUUAAUUUUUAUUUCCUUCCUUUUGAAUACACUCCCUAAACUCUUUUAGGGAAUUAAGUGUUUCAAAUCGUUUACUGUGAAGAAAUUAGAGUGUUCAAAGCAGGCGUAACCUAGCCUUUGAAUAUAUUAGCAUGGGAUAAUGAAAUAGGACUUUAGUCCUACUUUCGUUGGUUUCUAGGGCUGAAGUAAUGAUUAAUAGGGAUAGUUGGGGUCACUAGUAUUUAAUUGUCAGAGGUGAAAUUCUAAGAUUUAUUAAAGACUAACUACUGCGAAAGCAUUUGACAAGGAUGUUUUCAUUAAUCAAGAACGAAAGUUGGGGGAUCGAAGAUGAUCAGAUACCGUCGUAGUCUCAACCAUAAACUAUGCCGACCAAGGAUCCGGGGUUGUUAAUAUGGAUGACUCUCCGGGCACUUAUAGAGAAAUCAUAAGUAUUUGGGCUCCGGGGGGAGUAUGGUCGCAAGGCUGAAACUUAAAGGAAUUGACGGAAGGGCACCACAAGGAGUGGAACCUGCGGUUUAAUUUGACUCAACACGGGGAAACUUACCAGGUCCAGACACAGUGAGGAUUGACAGAUUGAGAGUUCUUUCUUGAUUCUGUGAGUGGUGGUGCAUGGCCGUUUCUAGUUGGUGGAGUGAUUUGUCUGGUUAAUUCCGUUAACGAACGAGACCUUAACCUAUUAAAUAGUUGUUUGAACUUGAUUUUUUAAAUCAAAUGUUCAUUUAACUUCUUAGAGGGACUCUUCACUGAGAGAGUGAAUGGAAGUUUGAGGCAAAAACAGGUCUGUGAUGCCCUUAGAUGUUCUGGCCACACGCGCGUUACACUGACAUAUUCAACGAGCAUUAUCCUUGCCCGUCGGGGUUGGGUAAUCUUUUAAAUGUAUGUCGUGCUGGGGAUAGAUCAUUGUAAUUAUUGGUCUUGAACGAGGAAUUCCUAGUAAGUGCGAGUCAUCAACUCGCGCUGAUUACGUCCCUGCCCUUUGUACACACCGCCCGUCGCUCCUACCGAUUGAAUGGUCCGGCGAGAACUCAGGAUGGAUAUGGAUUUUGGACCCGUUAGGUGUUCCAACCAUAUCCAGAAUUUGUUUAAACCUUACCA
rnacentral:rRNA from 1 species